UGAACGCUGGCGGUAGGCCUAACACAUGCAAGUCGAGCGGCAGCACAGUAAGAGCUUGCUCUUACGGGUGGCGAGUGGCGGACGGGUGAGGAAUACAUCGGAAUCUACUUUUUCGUGGGGGAUAACGUAGGGAAACUUACGCUAAUACCGCAUACGACCUACGGGUGAAAGCAGGGGAUCUUCGGACCUUGCGCGAUUGAAUGAGCCGAUGUCGGAUUAGCUAGUUGGCGGGGUAAAGGCCCACCAAGGCGACGAUCCGUAGCUGGUCUGAGAGGAUGAUCAGCCACACUGGAACUGAGACACGGUCCAGACUCCUACGGGAGGCAGCAGUGGGGAAUAUUGGACAAUGGGCGCAAGCCUGAUCCAGCCAUACCGCGUGGGUGAAGAAGGCCUUCGGGUUGUAAAGCCCUUUUGUUGGGAAAGAAAAGCAGCAGGUUAAUACCCCGCUGUUCUGACGGUACCCAAAGAAUAAGCACCGGCUAACUUCGUG
rnacentral:rRNA from 1 species